rnacentral:tRNA from 1 species
GCUUUCGUGGCGUAACGGUAGUACACUCGACACGUAUUCGAGAGGUCCAGGUUCGAGUCACGGCGAGGGCA